CUUCGACAUUUUUCUCCCUGUGUAAAAACGGCCCUGUGCCAUGAUUACAGAAACACGCGUAAUUUCGUCUUUUAUUCUCCAGGUCAUACGGAUGCAAUGCUUUUGUUUAUAAACAGGAACUUUCUGGAACGAGUGAGGCAAAGCAAAUUGGGCUGAGACACAAAGAUCAUUGGAGAGGUGGUGAGUCACAGAAGCGUUCCAGAAAACAAUUUUAAAGGAAACAGCUGCCGUCUGAUGUCUGCCCCGACCUGCAGCGCCUCGUGCCAGUCCAGCAGCUCGCGGGGGUGGUACACGGCAAACACCGCGAGGCUGAAGAAGUUACUGGCCAGGAGGCUGUAG